rnacentral:snRNA from 1 species
GAACUGGUACGGACAAGGGGA